rnacentral:rRNA from 1 species
AUUGAACGCUGGCGGCAUGCCUUACACAUGCAAGUCGAACGGCAGCACGGGAGCAAUCCUGGUGGCGAGUGGCGAACUGGUGAGUAGAGUAUCGGAACGUGCCCAGUCGUGGGGGAUAACGUAGCGAAAGUUACGCUAAUACCGCAUACGAUCUAUGGAUGAAAGCGGGGGAUCGCAAGACCUCGCGCGAUUGGAGCGGCCGAUAUCAGAUUAGGUAGUUGGUGGGGUAAAGGCUCACCAAGCCGACGAUCUGUAGCUGGUCUGAGAGGACGACCAGCCACACUGGGACUGAGACACGGCCCAGACUCCUACGGGAGGCAGCAGUGGGGAAUUUUGGACAAUGGGCGCAAGCCUGAUCCAGCCAUGCCGCGUGCAGGAUGAAGGCCUUCGGGUUGUAAACUGCUUUUGUACGGAACGAAAAGGUUUGACUUAAUACGUUGGACUCAUGACGGUACCGUAAGAAUAAGCACCGGCUAACUACGUGCCAGCAGCCGCCGUAAGAC